rnacentral:rRNA from 1 species
AGCGAACGCUGGCGGCAGGCUUAACACAUGCAAGUCGAACGGGCAUCUUCGGAUGCUAGUGGCAGACGGGUGAGUAACACGUGGGAACGUACCUUUCGGUUCGGAAUAAUACAGGGAAACUUGUACUAAUACCGGGAUACGCCCUUCGGGGGAAAGAUUUAUCGCCGAUAGAUCGGCCCGCGUCUGAUUAGCUAGUUGGUGAGGUAAUGGCUCACCAAGGCGACGAUCAGUAGCUGGUCUGAGAGGAUGAUCAGCCACACUGGGACUGAGACACGGCCCAGACUCCUACGGGUGGCAG